UACGAAGGGUGCAAGCGUUACUCGGAAUUACUGGGCGUAAAGCGUGCGCAGGCGGUUUGCUAAGACAGGUGUGAAAUCCCCGGGCUUAACCUGGGAACUGCGCUUGUAACUGGCAAGCUGGAGUGUGGCAGAGGGGGGUGGAAUUCCACGUGUAGCAGUGAAAUGCGUAGAGAUGUGGAGGAACACCGAUGGCGAAGGCAGCCCCCUGGGCUAACACUGACGCCUCAUGCACGAAAGCGUGGGGAGCAAACAGG
rnacentral:rRNA from 1 species